rnacentral:rRNA from 1 species
AACGAACGCUGGCGGCAUGCCUAACACAUGCAAGUCGAACGAUGCUUUCGGGCAUAGUGGCGCACGGGUGCGUAACGCGUGGGAAUCUGCCCUUGGGUUCGGAAUAACAGUGAGAAAUUGCUGCUAAUACCGGAUGAUGUCUUCGGACCAAAGAUUUAUCGCCCAGGGAUGAGCCCGCGUAGGAUUAGCUAGUUGGUGGGGUAAUGGCCUACCAAGGCGACGAUCCUUAGCUGGUCUGAGAGGAUGAUCAGCCACACUGGGACUGAGACACGGCCCAGACUCCUACGGGAGGCAGCAGUGGGGAAUAUUGGACAAUGGGCGCAAGCCUGAUCCAGCAAUGCCGCGUGAGUGAUGAGGGCCUUAGGGUUGUAAAGCUCUUUUACCCGGGAUGAUAAUGACAGUACCGGGAGAAUAAGCUCCGGCUAACUCCGUG